GUCCCAGCCUUCAGACUAAUCGCGAUGCCUAGCCCCACCGGCUUUUUAUAGGCUUCCCGGUCCUGGACUACAUUUCCCGUCGUUCCCCGCGGCUAGCGCUCAUUGGCGUCUCCUUCUUGUGGUGCUCAAUUUCUCAGCCAACCUGGUAGACCUAGGGCAGCUUGGGAACCGUCCUCCACUUUCUGGAAUUAGGGAUGUUUAGCGUUUAGAUUUGUUUGCCUUUGUUUAUUCUUAGACAAGCCUCCUACGCUGCCCUGUCUCUGGAAGGGUACGUUUAUGUACCGGCGAUGGGAUACUGGUCCUGCUCCAUCGAAUUGUCUGAUUAGCCUCUGCAGCUUCACCCGAUUUGGCCUGUGGAGGUCUUUGUGAAUUUGAAAGCUGGAGAAACAGCCAGGGUUCAGAACUGUUCAGGGAUGUGGCCAUAGUUUUCUCCCAAGAGGGAUGGGAGUUCCUCGAGCCUGUUCAGAGGGAUUUGUACAGAGACGUGAUGCUGGACAGCUACAGCCAUCUGGUCUCACUGGGUCUUAGCAUAUCCAAGCCUGAUGUGAUAUCCAGCCUAGAGCAAGGAAAGAAGCCCUGGAUAGAAGGAAUAACAGGAGGCCUGUUUUCAGGUGAGUGACAGGCCUUGUCAGGAACUAGAAACCCAGAGACCUCAGCAUUAUUGCCAUGUCUGCAGCUUGACCAGUUAGGCAGGACCAGAAAUCACCAGUACAGCACUCUUCAGUUAGUUUUAUAGAGUAUAGUGGUGGCCUUACUUAGGAGAAAGGAAAAGUGUCCCCCUGGAAUAAACCCACAAAACCCAAUCAUUUUAGGUGGAUACAGUAGAGAAAAUGGCAUUUUGGAGAAAGGAGUACUUUCAAAGGAGUUUCUACAGAGGUAGCCAAAGUGUUUUCCCCACAUGGUCAGAAGAGAACAAGCAUUAUAUGGUCACUGUAAUUCCUACAGCUCUGUCCAUGGUUGUUCACAAAGUCUUCUGUUCAUCAAGGUAGUAGUUUAAUAUCCUUGGCCAUGCCAGCCAUGGUGGCGCACGCCUUUAAUCCCAGCACUUGGAAGCCAGAGGCAGGCGGAUCUCUGUGAGUACCAGGACAGUCGGGACUGCUUUACAGAGAAAACCAAAAAAACAAAACCAACCAAACAAAAACCAAGUAUCCUUGGCCAGCUAUACUUUGUCUGCUUCCUUUGUAAGAUGAUAGCCGGCUGUCCUAGCGUUUGAGUGGAUCAGUAUGUAAGUGAGCAGCCUAACUGGAGUCCGUCUCUGCAUCUGGAUAGACCACAGCAGGCACUUGGAUCAACCAAAUGGUGUUUGAAAAGAAUAUGUCUCAGGGGCUGGAGAGAUGGCUCAGAGGUUAAGAGCACCGGCUGCUCUUCCAGAGGUCCUGAGUUCAAUUCCCAGCAACCACAUGGUGGCUCACAGCCAUCCAUAAUGAGAUCUGGCGCCCCCU